rnacentral:piRNA from 1 species
UAUGAUGCUACAAUGUAUGACUGAACAUGA